rnacentral:rRNA from 1 species
AUCUAUGGCUGGACCACCCUGAGCGUGUCUGAUCUCGUCUGAUCUUGGAAGCUAAGCAGGGUCGGGUCUGGUUAGUACUUGGAUGGGAGAAUACAUCAUUUUAAUAUCUAGGUUUUCCUGGCUA